GGGGCAGCAUAUAGAUUGCUUGCAAUUUAUGAUGGCGACCGGCGCACGGGUGAGUAACGCGUAUCCAACCUACCCAUUACUAGGGAAUAACCCAGCGAAAGUUGGCCUAAUGCCCUAUGUAGUCGUUUGAUCGCCUGAGAUUUCGACGAAAGAUUUAUCGGUAUUGGAUGGGGAUGCGUCUGAUUAGCUUGUUGGCGGGGUAAAGGCCCACCAAGGCAACGAUCAGUAGGGGUUCUGAGAGGAAGGUCCCCCACAUUGGAACUGAGACACGGUCCAAACUCCUACGGGAGGCAGCAGUGAGGAAUAUUGGACAAUGGGCGAGAGCCUGAACCAGCCAAGUAGCGUGCAGGAUGACGGCCCUAUGGGUUGUAAACUGCUUUUAUAUGGGAAUAAAGUGAGGGACGUGUCCCUUAUUGCAUGUACCAUACGAAUAAGGACCGGCUAAUUCCGUGCCAGCAGCCGCGGUAAUACGGAAGGUCCAGGCGUUAUCCGGAUUUAUUGGGUUUAAAGGGAGCGUAGGCUGUUUGUUAAGCGUGUUGUGAAAUGUAGGAGCUCAACUUUUAGAUUGCAGCGCGAACUGGCAGACUUGAGUGCGCACAACGUAGGCGGAAUUCAUGGUGUAGCGGUGNNNUGCUUAGAUAUCAUGACGAACUCCGAUUGCGAAGGCAGCUUACGGGAGCGCAACUGACGCUAAAG
rnacentral:rRNA from 1 species